UACGGAGGGUGCAAGCGUUAUCCGGAUUCACUGGGUUUAAAGGGUGCGUAGGUGGGCCUGUAAGUCAGAGGUGAAAUCCCCGAGCUUAACUUGGGAACUGCCUUUGAUACUAUAGGUCUUGAAUAUCGUGGAGGUAAGCGGAAUAUGUCAUGUAGCGGUGAAAUGCAUAGAGAUGACAUAGAACACCAAUUGCGAAGGCAGCUUGCUACACGAUGAUUGACACUGAGGCACGAAAGCGUGGGGAGCAAACAGG
rnacentral:rRNA from 1 species